rnacentral:rRNA from 1 species
UACAGAGGGUGCAAGCGUUAAUCGGAAUUACUGGGCGUAAAGCGUGCGUAGACGGUUAUGCAAGUCGGGGGUGAAAGCCCGAGGCUUAACCUCGGAACUGCCUUCGAUACUGCGGGUCUCGAGUCCGAGAGAGGUGAGUGGAAUUCCUAGUGUAGAGGUGAAAUUCGUAGAUAUUAGGAAGAACACCAGUGGCGAAGGCGGCUCACUGGCCCGGUACUGACGCUGAGGCGCGAAAGCGUGGGGAGCAAACAGG